GCCCUCCUGUGGCGCAACAGGUCAGUGUGUCUGGCUGUUAUCCAGAUGGUUGGUGGUUCAAGCCCACCCAGGGGCA